rnacentral:misc_RNA from 1 species
UCUCCGUUGGUGAACCAGCGGAGGGAUCGUUACCGAGUUUACAACUCCCAAACCCAAUGUGAACCAUACCAAACUGUUGCCUCGGCGGGGUCACGCCCCGGGUGCGUCGCAGCCCCGGAACCAGGCGCCCGCCGGAGGGACCAACCAAACUCUUUCUGUAGUCCCCUCGCGGACGUUAUUUUUACAGCUCUGAGCAAAAAUUCAAAAUGAAUCAAAACUUUCAACAACGGAUCUCUUGGUUCUG